GAUGAACGCUGGCGGCGUGCCUAAUACAUGCAAGUCGAACGGGGUUGUUGUAGCAAUACGACAACUUAGUGGCGAACGGGUGAGUAACGCGUUGGUGACCUGCCCCGAAGAGGGGGAUAACAGUCCGAAAGGACUGCUAAUACCCCAUGUGGUCUCAGGGAUUAGAUGCCCUGAGUCUAAAGGAGUAAUCCACUUUGGGAGGGACCUGCGUCCCAUCAGCUAGUUGGUAAGGUAACGGCCUACCAAGGCUUCGACGGGUAGGGGACCUGAGAGGGUGGCCCCCCACAAUGGAACUGAAACACGGUCCAUACACCUACGGGUGGCAG
rnacentral:rRNA from 1 species